rnacentral:rRNA from 1 species
UACGAAGGGGGCUAGCGUUGCUCGGAAUCACUGGGCGUAAAGCGCACGUAGGCGGAUUGCUAAGUCAGGGGUGAAAUCCUGGAGCUCAACUCCGGAACUGCCUUUGAUACUGAAGAUCUUGAGUUCGGGAGAGGUGAGUGGAACUGCGAGUGUAGAGGUGAAAUUCGUAGAUAUUCGCAAGAACACCAGUGGCGAAGGCGGCUCACUGGCCCGAUACUGACGCUGAGGCACGAAGGUCAGGGGAGCAAACGGG